rnacentral:rRNA from 1 species
UACGUAGGUGGCGAGCGUUUGUCCGGAUUUACUGGGCGUAAAGAGCGCGCAGGCGGUCGUUCAAGUCGCGUGUGAAAGCCCCCGGCUCAACUGGGGAGGGUCACGCGAUACUGAUCGACUCGAAGGCAGGAGAGGGUAGUGGAAUUCCCGGUGUAGUGGUGAAAUGCGUAGAUAUCGGGAGGAACACCAGUGGCGAAGGCGAGCUACCUGGCCUGUUCCUUGACGCU